rnacentral:rRNA from 1 species
CCUACGGGUGGCAGCAGUGAGGAAUAUUGGUCAAUGGACGGAAGUCUGAACCAGCCAUGCCGCGUGCAGGAAGACGGCUCUAUGAGUUGUAAACUGCUUUUGUACAAGGGUAAACCUGAAUACGUGUAUUCAGCUGAAAGUACUGUACGAAUAAGGAUCGGCUAACUCCGUGCCAGCAGCCGCGGUAAUACGGAGGAUCCAAGCGUUAUCCGGAUUUAUUGGGUUUAAAGGGUGCGCAGGCGGAAUGUCAAGUCAGCGGUAAAAUUUCGGGGCUCAACCCCGUCGUGCCGUUGAAACUGGCGUUCUUGAGUGAGCGAGAAGUAUGCGGAAUGCGUGGUGUAGCGGUGAAAUGCAUAGAUAUCACGCAGAACUCCGAUUGCGAAGGCAGCAUACCGGCGCUCAACUGACGCUCAUGCACGAAAGCGUGGGUAUCGAACAGGAUUAGAUACCCCAGUAGUC